rnacentral:rRNA from 1 species
CCUACGGGAGGCAGCAGUGAGGAAUAUUGGGCAAUGCCCGCAAGGGUGACCCAGCAACGCCGCGUGGAGGAUGAAGGCCGUAAGGUUGUAAACUCCUGUUAGAGGGGAAGAAUAGUACCGGUUGGACCGGUAUAUGACUGUACCCUCAGAGAAAGCCCCUGCUAACUACGUGCCAGCAGCCGCGGUAAU